GACGAACGCUGGCGGCGUGCCUAAUACAUGCAAGUAGAACGCACAGUUUAUACCGUAGCUUGCUACACCAUAGACUGUGAGUUGCGAACGGGUGAGUAACGCGUAGGUAACCUGCCUGGUAGCGGGGGAUAACUAUUGGAAACGAUAGCUAAUACCGCAUAAUAUUGAUUAUUGCAUGAUAAUUGAUUGAAAGAUGCUAUUGCAUCACUACCAGAUGGACCUGCGUUGUAUUAGCUAGUAGGUGAGGUAACGGCUCACCUAGGCGACGAUACAUAGCCGACCUGAGAGGGUGAGCGGCCACACUGGGACUGAGACACGGCCCAGACGCCUACGGGAGGCAGCAGUAGGGAAUCUUCGGCAAUGGACGAAAGUCUGACCGAGCAACGCCGCGUGAGUGAAGAAGGUUUUCGGAUCGUAAAGCUCUGUUGUAAGAGAAGAACGGGUGUGAGAGUGGAAAGUUCACACUGUGACGGUAUCUUACCAGAAAGGGACGGCUAACUACGUG
rnacentral:rRNA from 1 species